rnacentral:rRNA from 1 species
GUGAACGCUGGCGGUAGGCCUAACACCUGCAAGUCGAACGGCAGCACAGUAAGAGCUUGCUCUUCCGGGUGGCGAGUGGCGGACGGGUGAGGAAUACAUCGGAAUCUACUUUUUCGUGGGGGAUAACGUAGGGAAACUUACGCUAAUACCGCAUACGACCUACGGGUGAAAGCAGGGGAUCUUCGGACCUUGCGCGAUUGAAUGAGCCGAUGUCGGAUUAGCUAGUUGGCGGGGUAAAGGCCCACCAAGGCGACGAUCCGUAGCUGGUCUGAGAGGAUGAUCAGCCACACUGGAACUGAGACACGGUCCAGACUCCUACGGGAGGCAGCAGUGGGGAAUAUUGGACAAUGGGCGCAAGCCUGAUCCAGCCAUACCGCGUGGGUGAAGAAGGCCUUCGGUUUGUAAAGCCCUUUUGUUGGGAAAGAAAAGCAGCAGGUUAAUACCCCGCUGUUCUGACGGUACCCAAAGAAUAAGCACCGGCUAACUUCGUG